CUCUACUAGUCUUGCCUGGGAAAUCCCAUGGAGAGAGAAGCCUGGCGGGCUAUAGUCCAUGGAGCAAGAGUCUGACAUGACUGAGUGGCUAAACAAACAAAAACAAAUCCCCCAUCAGCCUGGCCAGAGUUGAUUAGAGUUUGGCUGAAAUGAAAGUGCGUGGUACGCUGUCAGAGCUGCAGUUCACAAAUACGGGAGCCAAAUUACACUGUUACUGGGAUGGCCACGAGGGAGACACUAUACCAGAAGCAACCGUGCAGGUCAUAACCUUAAAGGGAGGUGAUGGUACUGACACACGGAAGGCCAAGUCCAAAGCUCCAGCAGCGCUACUUUAGAAUUCCGCCUGAGGGAGCUUAGCUCAUUAAACAAAAAAUUAUAAAAAACAAAAAUACAUUUAUAUUUGCUCAAAAGUUAAAGGUUUUAUCUCUCUCUCCAAAAUAUACUCUGAAUCUGACCCACUGCACCUUCUUUACUGGGACCACUACUGGUCAAGCCACCACUUUCUCGCCUCUAAACAAAUGCAUUGAGUCUCUCACUGUUUCCAGUGUCCGCUCCACCCUAUUUCCAAACUGCUCUCCACAGAGCAGCCAGAGCCAUUUUCUUAAAAAGUAAUUUGAGGGGUUUCUUGGGUGGUGCAGUGGAUGGGAAUCUGCCUGCCAACGCGUGAGGUUGAUCCCUGGUCCGGGAGGAUGCGACAUGCCUCGGAGCACGUAGGCCCAUGCGCCACAACUCCUGAAGCCCGCACGCCUAGAACCCGUGCUCUGCAACAAGAGAAGCCACUGCAGUGAGAAGCCCUCGCUCACCACAACUAGAGAAAGCCCACACAAAGCAAAAGACCCAGCACGGCCAAAAAUAAGGAAUUUUUUAAAAAAUUCCACAUAUAAGUGAAACAGUAUUUGCUUUUUCCCAUCUGACUUAUUUCACUUGGCAUAAUACACUCAAGGUCCAUCCAUGUUGUCCCAAAUGGCAAAGUAUCAUCUUUCUUAUGGGAAAAACUGAACAUUUGGACUGAAGGUCUGUGAGAGACAGAAAUAGAGAGGCUCCAGCUCCUGGAAGCCCUGCCU
ensembl:lncRNA